CUGGCAGACUUCGGAAAUACUUUCAAUAAAGAUCAAGUUAAUUCAUCGGAAGUCUGUAUAUUAUUGUUCAUUAUCAAUAAAAAGUCAAUUUUUCACUAUUGAUCCUGGUCCUAUUUGUCCUAUGGUCACUAUGGUGUAAGGAGGUAUGGUAGGACUCGCUGGCCAUCCGAUGGCAGCCCAUUUGUUGUUCUACCCCGAGUGGUAGACAAAGGAUCCUAUAUUGAUUUUACCAGGGUGGUAAAUCAAUGGUCACUAUUGAUCCUGGUCCUAUUUGUCCUAUGGUCACUACGGUGUAAGGAG
rnacentral:lncRNA from 1 species